AAAAAUUAAAAAAAAUGCUGGGUUUGCAUUCCACAGUGCUGUUGUAAGUCUGCAUCUGUAAACCUUCCUUCAUGUGGGUGCACAUCAUUCUUCAAGCACAUCCUUGGUUUAGACUAACUGUGACUCACAUGGAUAAUGUGUUAAUCUGACAGCUAAUCUUGUUAAAAGAUGGAUUAACUACUCUGUGCACAUGACAGAAUAUCUAGCAAGGAGCAUGAUUUUCCUUUUCAAAUACUCUGUUUUCUUCUGGUGGAGUCCUUUUACUCACAGGGACCAUCUGCUGAUCAAGAAUGGGCUGUACUUACUACUGCUUCUUGAAAAAAAGGGUGUAGAAGCUGCGGAUAUGCAGUUCAGUCUGCGAGCCAACAGGCACCAAAGAUAUGCUGCCCAGUUAAAUCAGAUUUCUUUACAGUUGUGAUCCAAGCCAUGAAGUGGAAACUCAAAAUGUGAGUUGGAAUUUGACAUAGGUUUUCCAUUGUUUGGAACAGUCAGUCAGAAGAGUGAACACUCACUUGUGAGGGAAAGGGAAACAGAGUGUUCCUACAGCAGAUAAAGCAGAGAGGCAUAAAAAUUCCUCAGCCUGGCCUGCAGCUGAACUAAAGAAAAUAGAUGCAGUGCUAGAUACUUGGAAAUUUUCAAGGUACACAGGAUUAAAGGGAACACCUGAGUUCCACAUCUGUUUCUUUUCAAAUGGAAAAUGAAGUGGAGAAAGGUACCUUUUCCUCUGGACUUGCUGACUGCACAGCCUGGCUGAAUGCCCAUCAUACUGCCUUAUCUUGCUCUUGUGUCGGAGUUCAGGCGCUAACAGGUGGUACCAGAUCGAUGCUGAGCAGUACUUCUGGGGAGGUGACACUCCGCCCUAGUACUUUGCUUACUGAUUUUCAGUUUCUCACAUGAAGCAGAAGCUAAUCAUGAUGUCUCAUCAUCAAAGUUAUUUCUCACUGGACUACUCAGAGGUGUUGUUGUCAAACCUUCCCAGCUACAUUGGUUAAUCCAUUCCAAGUGCCAGUAGUUAUCCUGAGCUCCAUGCUGACUGCUAUGACAUGAAACUUCAGAAUCUGUGCACCUCUGAUGUCAUCAGGAGCCAUUGAUGUCAGAGCGGCUUCUGCGCAGCGUGAAGGUCCGUGUCAACUCAUCACAUUACCUCUGCAUGAAAGCACAGAAUUAGAAUCAGAUGCCACUUCAACAUCCCUUUUUGUUUCUAACUGAGAAGACCCCUUGAUGUUUGAAUGAAAUAUGUAAUAAAAGGAAACCACAAAUAGCCAAGCCAUGUUUCAAAACUGAAGAGACUCUACUUGUUCCUUUAAACUAGAAGAAAAAUGUAACUUCCUAACACUGAUUGAUUUUGGGGAUCCAUCUGCAGCAGAACCAGAAUGCUUCUCUACUUCCCCACACCACUCAUCAGCUCUGCUUAUGUUGGCUAAACGUGUGAGAGAAAAUUGAAGACGUAACAAAGUUCCUACAUGCCAGUUUCCAGUGGAAGUAUGACUGUAAGCACGUGUACUUCUACCCAAACAUCAGGAUGUGCAAACUGCAGGAAGAUGCUAGGCUGGGUGUGAGUCUUUUAUUUCCUCUCACAUAAAUGUUUAGACCAAGUCCUAGUUCAGCUUUAGAAAGUGCUAAAUGUAGUAAUUGUUUUUUUAUAUACUCUUUAUGGUAUUUCUGUUUAGUUUAAGCCAUAAAUUUGAAUACAGAAAGCAUUAAAAAGAUAGUAGAGGAGUGAUAGCUUCUUUAUCCCUAGUUCCAAGCUCUGAGCAAGGUAGUGUUGGCUGUAGUUUUUAUUUGGAGGGAAGAGAAGCAACCUUUCUCAUAAACCUUUCAUUAGUUGAACACAGAGGUGACCAAGUUUCCACAUCAGAGUGCAUGACAACCCUAAGAUUGGCUCAUGAAAUGGUGGGGUGAGCCCUAAAGA
ensembl:lncRNA